rnacentral:rRNA from 1 species
CAGCAGCCACGGUAAUACGAAGGGGGCUAGCGUUGUUCGGAAUUACUGGGCGUAAAGGGCGGGUAGGCGGCCAUUCAAGUUAGAUGUGAAAGCCCUGGGCUCAACCUAGGAAUUGCAUUUGAUACUGUUUGGCUUGAGCUCGGGAGAGGUGAGUGGAAUUCCCAGUGUAGAGGUGAAAUUCGUAGAUAUUGGGAAGAACACCAGUGGCGAAGGCGGCUCACUGGACCGACACUGACGCUGAGGCGCGAAAGCGUGGGGAGCAAACAGGAUUAGAUACCCCGGUAGUCCCUGUCUCUUAUAC